CCCGGCAAUGGCGCCAAAAAAGCUUGUUGACACUUGCUAACACCACUUGAAUACUAAGUUGUCAUCCCCAGUAUGGCACUAGGAUGUACUAUGGUAUUUAUACGCACACAGAUAAAUCCGCAAGCGCACGGAUACCGUUGUAGCUUUUACCCGGUUAAAGGUUUUAUCGUAUCCACAGGGAAACGGGAGAACCAACUAUGCUCUAACUUAACCAAGAUAGAUAGAUAGAUAGGUGUAAAUAGGAAAGAUGGUAGAAUUGAAUAAGAACAAUAUUAAAGGUAAAAUGAUAAUGAGGGAAUAUAGAGUAGAGCAAUAUAAUAUAUGGGCGAUAAUAGGAUAAUAGAGCGGAUAACUAGGGUUUCUCUACUUCAAAGGGGUACGUCUAUGUCUAGGAUGAACCAUGUGAUAAGAAUACACCACAAAGGAUGCUUAUCCAUAGGCCGAUAAACCCUACCAGUCCUGCUAAUUGGAGGUGGACUACAGAGGACCAACGUAGCUAUCACCUACGCGGCCUACCACACGAUCCGGCU
rnacentral:lncRNA from 1 species